GUGCUUGCUUUGGCAGCACAUAUACUGAAACUGGAAUGAUACAGAGAAGAAUAGCAUGGUUCUUGCCCAAGGAUGACAUGUAAAUUUGUAAGCAUUCUCUAUUUUUC
rnacentral:snRNA from 1 species